AGCGGCUGUAUUAAGACCAGAACUUGUGUUUCAGGCACUCGGAACGGACAGCCUGUGAGCAAGAAAAGUAGAUUUCAGAAGCUGCACAUUGCCGGUCUGCUUUGGUCUCUUUGUCGCUCUGUCAGUCAUGCCCACUGUCUACUUUUUCAUUGUAUCCCUCAGGGACACAAUUUGUGUUGGCAGGAAUAAAAGAAGAAAGCAUUAAAGGAGGAAACUGCACAAGCAAGACUGAAAACUGGGUAAGAACUUGAUUGGUAGCCAGCAAUCGGUUUCUCUUAUCCCCCAAGCUCCACAUAAGCUGUGAUGCAGUACCUAUCCAUACUGAGCCAGAAUAAAGGUCUGGCAUGUCCCGAUCAUUGACUGAAUAAAACAUGGACACAACAAGGGCUACCUCGAGCAAAGGCAAAACUUUUAGAGCUCCCAGCUGGCUGACUGUAGUCCUAAAACCCUCCUCCAUUGUAACAGAUGGAACAUGAGUCAAACUGCAAAAUUAAAUAUUCAUGAAAAGUUUUUUCUCAAAAAUAUUUUUGGUCUUUUUAAGUCAUGAUGAGUUAGAUCUUAUUCUUUGGAAAAGUUUAGUUUUUUGAAGUUAUUUGAUGUUAAAAAGCCCUUGAGGUUUGUUUUGCCAGAUCAGCAAAGUUGAAAGGGAAUGGUAUCAGAAAACAUGAGUUGGUUCUGUUUGAUGUAUCCACUUGAGGGAAAGGGGUAUGACAUCAGUUCCCUGGCUCCACCAGUCAGAUCACCUCCCAUCACGUUUUGGCUCCACCAGUGCCAUGAGCCGGUACACAUCAAGGCUAAGGUGACCAUAUUUGGAUUGCGGAAAACCAGGACGCUUAUGAGGCGCUCACACCAAGCACGAGUAAAAUCAUCUACAUGCUAAAUUCGCUGAAUCUGGUCACGUGAAUGAAUAGUAUUUACUCACUUCAUUCACACGUUAACAGUAAUUUCAACAGUAAUCCUUGCCAAUUCAACCGGUGGGAUCAAGUGAUAGACAAAGGUUUUUUUAUAAUUUACCAGGUAAUCCGACCUCAUUACUUACUUGCCUCCAGGCGAGCUCCUUUUUAUUCCGGUUUUGGUAAUUGAAAGAAAAGGUAUCACAUAAUUCGGGGCACCCACACACCGACACGAUCAGUUUGUCCUCUAUUUUAGAUACCAGUGAACAACCAUCCGUUUUUAUACAUCAUCCAGCAACCUUCGCGCUGAUUAAAUAUCGUGACGCGAAUAUCCGCCCAAGAUGAGACAUUUUCAGCUUCCGCUCAGUUCACGUCAUUCGCACUACCAGAGUAGUAGGAGCGUCUGAUCGCGACUUUGCAUUGACUUAACAUGUAAUUCAUUUGCGCGAAUGAUUUUACUCGCACUUGGUGUGUGGAGACAGUCAGCCCCCCCAAAAGAUACUCAAAUUAUAAUUUCAAAACAUUUAAAGUCUUCCUCCUCUGUAUGGAUAGAAAAUUGUUGUAUUACCAAAUCCUACCUAUAACCAAAGACACAAAUUCAGACAGGCUUCUCAGAGGUUAUUCAACAUGUUGUAUUAUGACAAGUUUUAAAAAACAACUAAUGAAAUAAUGAUCUAAAUAAUGUCUCUUUUGAAACCAAAACUAAAAAAUUCCCUCAGCUUUAGUAGCAAUCCAACUUUAACAAAAAUUGCUCUCAAAAACACAAAAACAUCAAAUCUUAAGUUUUCUUUUUCAUCCUCCUUGUUUGCCUAUCUAAGUUUAAGUGGCUCAAUAAAAAACUAUGAAAACCAGGACAUUUUCAUCACUUUGUAAAAACAGCAAGGACAGCUGGGACAGGAUGUGAAUCAAGGUAGAAUUUUGGCUUUUUAUGUCUAACAGGUGGAGAUGGUGGUCUAGUGUGCAGGUAGAUGACAAUAAGUGGUCCCAGUAUUUAAGUGUCAAAUGCUAAAUGUCUACGCCACCAAGAUGUCUGACUUUGUCAAGUUGUGCUGCAGGAAAAAUCCAGCUCGUUUCUCUGACCUAGCUGACAAACAUCCCUCUUGUGUAUCAAAUUAUGUCACUCCAACUCAAGUCUGAUUGUAUCUUUAAUAAGUUAUUUGUUGCUUGAAACCAACCGCUGCUGUUUUGAGGAGAUUCUUUUACAUUUUUUAAACCUCUGUGCCUUUUAGAAAGACGUGUCUGAGGAGAUAAAGACAUGCAAGAAAGUGAGGCAGGAUCUAAUUCUGUCUUUAAACCAACCUACACACUUGGUGCUUUAAAGCUCCUGCAUGGAACUUGCAGUCAGUGUUAAUUUUGGCGCCCCCUGUGGUCAAUUUCUGUCCAUUUCUGUCCUUGCUGAUAUUGACCCUUACAGUUGUAAGAACUGUUGAAGGAAACUUAUCUGCUUUCUUUUAAACAUAAAUUUAAGGGGUAUUGCAAUUUUUUCCUGCCUGGUAGUGGCAUAUUCCCUUAAUUUACAACAUUUCCCCGUCCUCUGCCUUCUCUGAUUCAGGAGUCAUAUAUUCAAUGUCCCCUGAUGCUUUUUCUCUUUUCUCUUUUGCAACAACUGCAGAAUGACUUACUGUAGCCCAAUGUUUAUCAGCUCCAGCUCUAUCAUGAUACACUGAGAUUUGGUUACUUGCUUUCCUGAGCACAAACAAGAAGGUAAUGUUGAGGAAACUGGUGAAAUGACUUGAAAGACAUCGCACUGCUCACUGGUAUUUAUGGGAUAUUGUAGAAUGACAAAGGAAGGUUUUCGUCUUAAACCUACCUCAUGGAUAGAGUAUUUCAGAAAUUCCAAAUAAUCAUGUAGAAACUGUCAAACUUAAUGCUGACAGUCUUGUUUGGCUUUGUGGCUCAUAAAGAGGCAUUAAUAUUCAUUUUAAUGUUUCAUAACCAGAUAAAAAUCCCAAAAGGAGUUUUACAGAGCUGUAAGCCACCAGGAUGCCAAGUAGUCCACUUUUUGACUCAUUCCUCCAAUGACAACCAGAUUUUCACUCACCUUCAAAUAGCUUUUCCAAUGUACUGUCCGCCCAACUUCUGAAAUUGCUUUUUUCCAUCUUUAUUCAUAUUCAUGUGCAAUUUGUUGUCAGAUCUUCUCUGGUCCUCUUAGAGCCACCUCUUCCUCCUCCCCCAUGUCGAGCGAGGAAAUGACUUUCGAGGAGUGCACAUUGCUCCGAAUCAUUCAGUCAACAGUAAAGUGGGCUCACACGAAGACACGCAGUGCCUCAGGCAAGCUCGUAACAGCAUGUUUGUCGUACAUACACAUCAACAUCCACGGCCGGCUCAUUAUGAUAAUUCAUUGGCCCUGAAAUGAGGCUGAGCUGCUCUCACCCGAGGGGCUGGGGUUUAGCGUGCCUCUCUCUUCAGUUUGAUCUGAGUUUUUCUGAUCAUCUGUAAAACAUCAGGAAUUAGGGACCAGUGGGUCAAGCGAUGGGAUAUAAUUAUGUUACGCUUGUCUGGAAGAUGGGAUUUUUUCCUCUCCUCUUGACCUGUCUUUGAACCCACUCAACGUUUUAUACUUUUUCGCUGAUUUUCAAGUGAGUUUGAUUUCAAGUUAAAAGGUCAGUUAAUUAGAGUUUAAGAGAAUAUCAUUUUGGCCUUUAAUCAAAUACAAAUGUUAUCACAGGUUUUUUUUUUUCCUGUGAGAGACUUUGCAAAAGAUGUGUGGAAAAAAAAGAGAAAGACAUGGAAAUGUUUCCCUUUUCAAAUUAAAAGUAGUUGCCAGCUGAAGAAUACACUCAGAGGAUGGAUCAAAUUUCAUGUUUACUUCUCGAGCAGCCUUCAAACUUGCUGAGAAGUGCUCCGAACAGCCAAAAACACACUUACUACUCACACACUUAUACAGGAGCAGACUGCACAAGAACAAUCUGAAGACGUCAACAUAGGCAGGAUUUGUCAUCUGCAUAUGAGGCUUAACACCAACGACAAUAAUCUAAAGUGUCAAUGACAUCUCUUGAUGGUUUCCUUGGAAAUGUUUUGAAUCCCAGAGAUGACAGAUGCUAGGGGUAGGAAUUGUUCCGUUCAAUACGAUACAAUUCAAUAUGAUUCGACACAAUAUGUAAUAUUUGGUCCACAUUGAUCUUCCAAACUAGAGAUGCAGUAUAAUUUCUUUCUUUCUUUCUUGAUUCCCUUCUCCCUAUCUUUUCCUUACAUCCUAUUAUACCUUCCUUCCUUCCUUCUUUCCACCUAUUUUGUUUUUCUCGCUUUCUUUCUUCUUCCUUCCUUCUUUGCUUUUCUUUUCUUUCUACCAUUCUUCCUACAUUUUUAAUAUUUAGUUUUGUCUGUCUUUCUUUUUUCUUCCUCCCUUUCUUCUUUCCUUUUUUGCUGUCUUUAAUUCUUGCUUUUCCCUACUUCAUUUCAUGCUCCCUUCCUUUUUAACGACCUCCUUUCUUUCUGUCUAUCCUCUUCCCUUAAUCCUCCCUCCUUUUUUCCCUUUUGUUCCAAUUAAUUUCCUCUUUUUUCUCAUUUCUUUCCUUUCUUUCUCCCUUCUUUCUUCCUAUCUUACUUUAUUCCUCUCCUCCUCAUUUGCCUGUCCUUUCUGUCUUCCUUCCUCUUCUGUAUUUCGUCUUUCAUCUUUCACCGUGUUUCCCUCCCUCACUUUUUAAAGCUGUUAGUGCCUCUCACCUGUUAACUUCUGUCCCUUUUCUCUUCAUUUACAUCACUAGCUCCAUCUUGGGGAGUCAUGAAGUUGAGUCAAAUUGGAGGGAAAUCAAUCUGCAGCUCCUUAUUUAUUUGAUAAAGAUAUUGAUAUUUGGUCCUGGCAUAUCUCUAAUUGUAUCACAUAGGUUAGGAUGUGGAGAUAUGGCAGAAUCAAUACUUUCUCCCGCCUCCUGGUUUAGAUGUAAAUGUCUCAAUCUGUACAUACUGAUUUUCUGCAGAUUUGUUUUCCUCGUACCCCCUAACCUUAAAGUUUGAGUGAAGUCAGUGUGAGUAGAUGUGUAAAGGAAACAGGUUUUUAGGACAAACCAUGUUUAUACAUUUUCCCCUUUUCUCCGUGAUGGAGGUCUAUUAAAUAACUCUGAUUUGAAACAAGUGUAACCUAUGAUACGUGUUUGGUUUCCUUUCAGCCUGGCUCCUUCGAUGUAGGUCACAUGGUGAUUCAUCUCGGCAAAAACAAACAAACAAACAAAAAAUGACAACGUGGAGACUGUAAGUGUGUGGGAGCUGCAGAAGCCAGCGCGAUGCCUCUUUACAUCUUCAUCUCUCUGUCUGUAUCUCCCCUUGUCUGUCUGUCUCGGUCAUUCUCAUUCUGUUUGCAGCUCGACGCCCUCAACAUUUGUCCACACGACUCAGCGCAGUCAUUCUAUCCGCCUCGACAUGAGGGCCCCGCCAGACGCUCAUUUGGAGAUGGGUUCGGGCUGCAUCAGUGACUCAAUUGAG